AGUGAACGCUGGCGGUAGGCCUAACAUAUGCAAGUCGAACGGCAGCACAGAGGAGCUUGCUCCUUGGGUGGCGAGUGGCGGACGGGUGAGGAAUACAUCGGGAUCUACUCUGUCGUGGGGGAUAACGUAGGGAAACUUACGCUAAUACCGCAUACGACCUACGGGUGAAAGCAGGGGAUCUUCGGACCUUGCGCGAUUGAAUGAGCCGAUGUCGGAUUAGCUAGUUGGCGGGGUAAAGGCCCACCAAGGCGACGAUCCGUAGCUGGUCUGAGGGGAUGAUCAGCCACACUGGAACUGAGACACGGUCCAGACUCCUACGGGAGGCAGCAGUGGGGAAUAUUGGACAAUGGGCGCAAGCCUGAUCCAGCCAUACCGCGUGGGUGAAGAAGGCCUUCGGGUUGUAAAGCCCUUUUGUUGGGAAAGAAAUCCAUCUGGUUAAUACCCGGGUGGGAUGACGGUACCCAAAGAAUAAGCACCGGCUAACCUCGUGCCAGCAGCCGCGGUAA
rnacentral:rRNA from 1 species